rnacentral:snRNA from 1 species
UCACUUCAGCAGCAAAUAUACUAAAAUUGGAAUGAUACAGAGAAGAUUAGCAUGCCCCUGUGCAAGGAUGACAUGCAAAUUUGUGAAGCUAUUCAGAUUUUU